rnacentral:lncRNA from 1 species
AAGAAUAUAUAGGGGGAGUGUAUUAUCGACCUUUCUAGAAAAACAACUAAUUUAGAUGUUAGAAUUUGAAGUGUGAAGAGAACAAAACCCACAUUCUAAAACCUUAUGCUUAUCAUAUAUUACAAGAAUAUUAGAGGUGCAUAAACUAAUUCUGAUUUCAGGGUGAUAAAAAAACUGUAGUUUGUGCAUCAUUUGCCAGAAAUGAGUGACCCAAAAUAUGCGUAUCCCUACCCUGCUCAAGGUACCCUUCUACCCAUCUUUCUUUUUUUGGUCUAUUUCUCUCAUAAUUAACACCUCCAUGUUAUGUUAUGUUAUUGGACUUUGUUUAAUGAUAAAACAAUGUUGUUUAUGAAUUCCUAAGGCUAAGGUAGAAGAAGCUUCAUCCUCUGAAACAAGAUUUUAUUUUGUUUCAUAUGAUAGAUCAUGGAUCGAUAGUGGAUUGGUGGAGAGAACUGCCACUUUAUCUUUUUUGCUUUACCAUUUUGGAGAUAAAAAUUGAUCUUAUUUUUCAACUUUUGGUCAUUCUGUUCUUUCUAUUCCAUUUAUUUUCUUUUUGAAUGGUUUUAGUUUGUGGGAAAUGGUUUUGUUUGCAGGGUAUUAUCAAGGUCCUCCUGUAAUGGCACCACCACAGUAUCAGUAUGCUGCUCCACAACCUGCAAGACAAACUGGUUUCCUUGAAGGAUGGUAAGUUCUCAACUUUCCAUUGCUAUGCACAAGAGCAAAAUUGUUUCUCAUGUUAAAUUUAUCCAUCUUCUUUUAGUACUUAUUUUUUCUUCAUUGCCACAAUGAAUCAAAAAACUUAAUUAUGUUUGUGAGUUGAAUUUUGGAGGGGAAUAAAUGGAAAUAGACGCCAUGAGAGCCAUGAAAUAUACGGGUGAGAUGACUCCAGAACAUUUUCAUUCUUUGGUUUCCCUCCAAAACUUAACAGACAAAUAAAUCCUAAAUCUCAACUUGUGUUAAUUUGUUAGAAUAGUGCUAUUACUUACUCGGAUAUAUGUACACACAUAAUUUCAUAUUCACAAAAGUAUAAAUGGUUUCACUUCAUUUUCUACAUAACCAAUCAAAAUUGUAUUAGGUGUAAAAUAAUUACAAUAAGAGUUUUCCUAUCCAUUUCAAAAUCGAUAUUUUAAUGACUUGAUAUAUUUGAUUGGUUAUGCCUCUAUGCAAGUCUUAUUUCUUUUGAUGCAGAUGUUGUGCAAAAUAUGUCUCUUGGUGUAAUUGACACAUUUCUUUCUUUCUUUCUUUCUCUUUUAGUCUUGCAGCUCUGUGUUGUUGUUGCCUCGUAGAUGAAUGCUGCUGUGACCCCUCAAUCCUAUGUAUCUUCUGAUGAUAUGAAAGUUGCUGCGCUAGAGUGACAAAUAAAUGAAGAAGCUACAAAUAUACAGUUUGAUGCUUCCAGUUUCAGCUGGAACAUGUGUGGUUUGUCUAGACCCUUUAUUUAUUUUUUAUUAACCUGGUUUGGUUUCUAGCUAUUUCCCAACUUGGUCCUGAGAUAUGAUUUGUAAUUAUGUGAAACUAUUUUGUUUAAGAUGAUUGGAGAUUGAACUAAUGGUUUAUAUUCUGUACUCAAGAUUUUGACUCUUUGGUGUUAUUUAAAAAUAGCUUCACCUAAUCCAAUCUAACCUUUUUAUAUUGGAUUGAAUUUAUCCAACUUGUGUUCAUUCCUAUGAACAUAGUUAGCGGUAUAUUAAUAUUUAGUUGAUGAUGUAUAUUAUGUGAUUAAAAAAUAAUAAGUAAUUACCUAUAUUAAUACAAUGGUUGUUAAUAUUAACUGCAUAAGUCUUACAUCAUUAAUCAGAUGCAAAAAUAAUAUAAAGGAAAACUGAGUUUAAGGCAAUUAUUUCUUUACAUGGUUAAAGCCUAUAUAGCCUAUAGUGUUUACAUCCUUAUGCUUAUUUUGGGGAGCAACAAAGGGAUGUCAUACAUAAACUCAAAACAUAGAACAAUACCCCCUUGGUUAUUCCAACAACGUUAUUUUGAACGCUGCAUAUGCACUUUCAAAAGAAAAAAACGAAUCAGAAGAACUCCAUGUCAGAAGUUAUUGAAAUUAUUGUUCGGACAUGUUUGAGUCGAAAUGCAUAUUUGUAGAAAAUUUGUUUUGCAAUAGUUGUUGGCCAGAAUACAAACUUUAAAAAAUUACAUUCCGAUAAAAGCAAACUUUGCAUUACAUAGUGUGAUAUACCUUGUUACUUUCGUAAUUGAUGUACGAGGUAUGCUAAUGUGAUAAGGAAUAUAAGUGUAUUGGGUGAGAAAGAUGGAGAAGUGUAAUUAGGGAGGAGAAUGAGAUUUGAAGGAUAAAUAUAUAUGUUAAUGUAAUGAAAAAGGGAGGAAAUAGUUGGAAUGAAGAUAAACAUCAUUUUGAAAAUUGUAUAAAAUGGUCGGGCUUAAAUUUUUAACUGAGGUUCAAAAAUUAAAUGUUUAAAGAAGGAUGGGAUUUUCCUACCUCCAUAAUCUAGCCUACCAUCCGGGACUCUCGAGCCCAUCAGGCAAUUGAAAAAUGUUUUUCUGAUCAAUCACAUCAAAUGACAACUCUUCCAUAAGUGAAACAAACUUGGGCAUCAGGAGCACAAACCUGUUUCAACUGAAGUACUCGGGUCAGGGUCACCAGAUACUUAGAACACAGAUUAACCAAUAACCCAUGGCUAACAUUUUUCUUUGGUUUGAUUUUACAAAAAAAAAAUCUCAGAAAAAAGAUUAAAACUUUUAAAUGGAACUACUUCUAUUUAUAUUGGUUCUACUCUAAAUUACACUGCUUUAAAAUGGUUCUAUGUCAUCAUCCACCUUGCUCUAGUGAAUACUUCUAUAAUUUUACACCUAGAAGUACAGUCAAUAAUUUCAUCACAUAAACCUAGUGGACAAUCACCUUAUAAAUUAAACUCUUCUGAUUUAGAGUCAUCAUCUUUUGUUUCACCUUUCUGAGCUGCAUUUUUUGCAAUGUAUUCCUCUUCAAUAGUCUCCUUAAGGAUAAGCAGCCUCUGCAUAACUACAGGUUGAGUCAAUUGCCUGGCUUCCCUCAAAUCUGUUUCUUCCUUAUUCAGAUUAUAUGCAUCAAGCAUGAUCUUAAUCCACUUGUGCAGCUCCUCCGGUGUACUGCUUAAUCACGUUAAGAUUAGACGAGUAUUAGAACAAUCACAAGUAGGAUAUACUUUAGAAUGAAACAGUAGUAUUUUCUCACGUGUAUAAAGCAUCAGGGUCCUUGGCUUCAUUUCCAUCACCAGGGGAGAAAGCCGUUGCUAACGCAGAAAAUCGCUCCUCGGGAUCGAUAAUGUUAAGCAAAUGCUUGAGCAGCUUUAUUUCUUUUGGUAUGAUACUCCUUAGGCUGCUCUUUGUGGUCUUGUACAAUUGGUACAUUAUUUCUUUCACCUGCAUAAUAAUGAGCGAGAAUGUUGAGCAUUAGAAUGCAGCAUUCAGCACAGACAUGGACAUAACAAAUUCUAAAAAUUGAUGGAUACGGAAAGACCUUGGAACUUAUCAAUUCCCAAGCAAUACAACAUUCACAGCCUUCUUAUGUACAGAAUUAUGAUUGAAGGGUAAUGUCAAAGCAAAAGUUAGCAUAGGAUCUUUUUUUUUUGUCUUAAAUCAUUGAGUAAUGCAAGUGAAUUUCAUUACAGAAAAGAGAAAAAAAGACCACUUCUUCAAAUCCCAACUUUUAAGUCUUCCAUAUUAUUGUAAUCGGGUGUCUGAACCUCUAACAAUACCAGUGAUAUAAAAAAUCAUGAACAUUUUUAUUAGUUAAUGAUGUGAAUGUAUAACUGAUUAAAAGAGACCUUGACAUGGUUUCUGAUUGCAUCUUGUUUAUGCUUACCAUUUGAUUUAGAUAUAUGCUUGCAUCAAAAUAAAAAAUGAGUGUAGAUUGCAGAACCAAUGUUUGACAUAGUUAUCAACAGAUUGAAAGUCUGACAAUACUAUAAUACCUUGACUUGUCUAAUUACCUAGAUUUAUGCAACCAAAAUCAUCAAAGAGGUGAUCUUAAGAAACAGAAGAGUACGGUAUUUGAUUAAUAUUACAUCUAUCAACAUUUUCAAGUCGUGUAUGUAAAAACUUGAACAAUAACAAUGCACAAGACCAACUUAAAAUAUGCAGCACGGCCAGAUAGCACCUGAAAAAUAAAUUUUAGAUCUGCUUUUAUAAAAAAUAAGCUUGCAAGAUGAACACAUUCUACAUGGUUUUAUGUUUUCUAAAGCAUCACUGUUAUUGGCUAAGGCACAAUUAGAGGCAUUUGAGGGUCUUUUUGUUGGAAGAGGGUGGAAGGACAAUAACAAAAGUACAAAACCAUGGAAAAUCAUGUUUCAAAAUAAUACCUCAUUCUUCAUUGUUGUAGAUUCUUUUGCUUUAGCCCAAGCACUGCUUAUCAGCAAUAUCAAAGAAGAAUCAAGUUCCUUUGCCUUUGCGAGGCUUUUGAUCUUGUCACAAGCUACAUCAAUGGAAGGAGAAUUGAGGAUAUCAUCAAAUUUGGCCUGGGCUGUAUCUAAUGUGUCCACAAUCUCCAGAGUAUUAUCAUAUGCACUGACGGCUGAUAAGCAUCUAGUCCCAAGCCUGGCAAUUGCUGUUCAAAAAAUGGUCAAUCAUAAGUGAAACUUAAAAAUGCAAGAAUAAGCCAUUAAAGCUCCAUUUUUUGGCAGACAUAUUUUAAAUAUCCAAAUCCAAUAUCUUCAUUUGAAGAAGAAAUAUCACUCUUUAUUUCUUCCAAUUUAGUUGAAGCAAAAUUUAAAGUACCAAUAGUACAAUUUUAUCAUGAUCAGUUAUUUUUUUUUAUCAUUUUUCAACUCUUUCUUUCUUGUGACUACUAAAUUUAGAAAAUAUAGUCUUCCUGAGAAAAGGCUUAAAUCAAACAAGUUCUACUCUUUUAGCACUUAUACGUAAUUACCAUCACGAUCCUCUAAGCUGUUGUAUGUAUCUGAAAUAACAGAAAGGUAGCGGAAGAAUUCUCCUGUGAAGUCUUUGCGCCUUCGUGUGACUAUGGCAUUA